UACGGAGGGGGCUAGCGUUGUCCGGAUUUAUUGGGCGUAAAGAGCUCGUAGGCGGCUCAGUAAGUCGGGUGUGAAACCUCCAGGCUCAACCUGGAGACGCCACCUGAUACUGCUGUGGCUAGAGUCCGGUAGGGGAGCGUGGAAUUCCUGGGUGUAGCGGUGAAAUGCGCAGAUAUCAGGAGGAACACCAGCGGCGAAGGCGGCGCUCUGGGCCGGAACUGACGCUGAGGAGCGAAAGCGUGGGUAGCAAACAGG
rnacentral:rRNA from 1 species